rfam:Gracilibacillus boraciitolerans JCM 21714 DNA, contig:contig_13.
CGGGAAGUAGCUCAGCUUGGUAGAGCACUUGGUUUGGGACCAAGGGGGGGUCGCAGGUUCGAAUCCUGUCUUCCCGA